rnacentral:rRNA from 1 species
UACAGAGGGGGCAAGCGUUGUUCGGAAUUACUGGGCGUAAAGGGCGCGUAGGCGGCAUGACAAGUCACUUGUGAAAUCUCCGGGCUUAACUCGGAACGGCCAAGUGAUACUGUCGCGCUAGAGUGCGGAAGGGGCAAUCAGAAAUUCUUGGUGUAGCGGUGAAAUGCGUAGAUAUCAAGAGGAAUACCUGAGGUGAAGACGGGUUGCUAGGCCGACACUGACGCUGAGUGCGCGAAAGCCAGGGGAGCAAACGGG